UUGCUCCCGCAGCAUAUGUACUAAAACUGGAGUGAUAAAGAGAAGAUCAGCAUGACUCCUGAAGAAAGAUAGCUGGCAAAUUCAUGAAGUGUUCCUUAUUUUG